CUGAUGAAUACGAAGAUCCUUACAUGCGAUUAGUGUACACUACUUCAUGGGCUAUAUUUGUCUAUUAUGCCUAUCAACGUACCUGGAAACCAUUCAAUCCCAUACUUGGGGAGACUUAUGAAAUGGUUAAUCAUGGUGGCAUUACUUUUCUAGCUGAACAAGUUAGUCAUCACCCCCAAUGAGUGCUGGUCAUGCUGAAAAAGAGCCUUUCAUUUAUGAUAAUUCAUCUAAAGUGAAAACCAAGUUUUUGGGAAAUUCAAUUGAUGUAUAUCCUCUUG